GGGGGUGAAGCAGACUUGGUAUAACUGACUUUUGUUGUUCUUGAUGCAUUCUUCUCGUUUUAAAUCGGCCCCUUUUCAGAUUGUGUGUAGCCAUAAACGGCUUUUCUUCUUACAGGGGUAGCUAGCAAAGGACCAGCGUUCAGCGAGGAGCAUGAGCGGCAGUACACUGAAGUAGGAGCACUGGCUCUUGUAAAAACUCUGCGGACUAGGGGGCUAGUAAAGAGGGAGAGAUGCCCAGAGAGCAUACAGCUGUUUCGGUCGAGCGAGAGAGAGUUCUCCGGCGGCUGAAGAGUGGUUCUUGAAUCGGACAGAUGAUGUUCCAUCCUCUUUUCUGCCAAUCACCCACAAAGAUGAGGACAACACCCAAACUGGCACGAUAACAGCACUGUAUAAGAAGAGGACCCAAUGGUUCCAAAAGGCCUGGUUUUGCUCUACCGCCGUCCGCCCAGUCUGCCGCAGCUAUUUGGACAGCAACAGGUGAAAAGGUGAGAGGAGAUUGCUGAAAUCCAUAUGACCAAGACGACACGUCUGCCCAGGAGAUGGAUACCUCACCAGAUAUGUUUUCCCUGCCAUGGUUGUGAUAAUUGGAUUUUCUGGACACCUGUAUGAGUGCAGUAUAUCCAGCGGAUUAUAACCAGGGAAAGGGUGUCUUUCUGACGUUCUUGAUGCACAUCCAAUGAUGAGUGGGUGAUGGAGGUCCCUCUGCUGUAACCCUGACCUCCAGAGCAUAAUGACCGCUCCAAAGACAGGACCUAAGGAAUGAUGAGUCCAACGAAACACAUAUAGACACCACUGCUUCUGCUGCAAACAUGACGGCAUGAUCUGUCUCUGUGAAGACAAAAACAAUGUACCUGUUGUGCAACUCUCAUAUGGUUGGAUCAUAUGGUUCAUUUUGAAACGGUUAAACUGAAACAGUGAAACUUUUUACCAAUAGAGGCUACGCUGCUUAAGAUAUGAACUGUAUCGUCCGUUGAUGUAUUAUAUUUCAUGAUGUUACAUAUCUUCAAUAAAUGUAUUGGUGUAGAAAUUUUUGGUAGAAAUAUUGAGCAUUACAAUAUUUGGAAAGGGAGUAGGGAGUUCACAAUCAGAGCAGGGGAAGGUAAUUGCAGGUUUUUGUUCCAGCCCUCCAGGACAGAGAAUACCCCCCUACACACACCAUUUGCCACUGUAGGUUUAGAGAUCUACAGAUGGCCUCUGUAAAUAUCUGAAUAAGGCUAGCCUCUACCGUGUAAAUGAUAACACAAUUUCUGGUCAUCAUUGAUCUAAAUACAGAACAUUGUGGGGUAACUAUCCUCCAGUAUGGUGUGUGUUAUCGUAUAUUGUUCAUGUUGUAUCACUGCAACCCUCAGGUGAUGAAACAGUCUCUGUCACAAUAGCUGCCCUCUCUCGCUCUACUUUUUCUCGAAGCUCCCAGGACAGCUUUCAGCCAUGGAUAUUCAUUCCCUUUAUUUAAAACACACGUGUUCCACUGGCUACCAGUCAUUCAUCACUGACAACUAGAGUGGGUAUGUGUGGCCAUUUAGGCUUAUUGAUUAGCCAUAUCAUUCACAGAUAUCUCUCUCAAGUAUUUACUGUGUACAUCAGCAAACAGGAACCACACAGUAAGUGGAUAUACCUCCUCACUCACACUUGAAUAUCCUCUGAGAAGAACCCAAGCAGGAAGCGUUUUCUCCGGGGGUGUCAAGUCCAGCCCAGGAGAUGGUCAGCAUCAUGACACUAAGGAAGACCCUUGAGAGAACCAAUCGAAGGCCCAUCUGUGUUCAGCGCAGAGUGAAUCCUGUGUUUCCAGGUUUAAACUGAACGUUAUUAAAACAAGUGGGCUGAAAGGUCAGGAGAGAGAAGCCCACAAAAACAAACAAUUCAUUUGGCAUGGCGGUGUAAUGGGAUGAGAUGUGGACUGGGGUCGGGCCUAUUGUUCUGCUAGAAUUAACCGUGGCAGGUCAUGUGUCACUGGGCACUGACCCCGGCCCCAUUCAGGAGCCCAAACUCUGCAUUAGCCACGGCCCAAAGAGAGGUCAAACAUAGUCACAAACCGGGCACACACACAGCCAGUUCUGACCAGGGCAGCACUUACAAAACAAAGAGGGGUAUUACCAUGCGGUGGUUGUGACACUGGCGGCAUCAAAGGCUUUGUGACUCAUCCGUUGGCCUGAAUCUGUUGGACUGGUGCAUAUUGGAGGCAUUAAGCAUGAACGACAUGCACCUAAAUACUCCUAUUUCAUCUGUGCAAAGUGUGUGAGCCGGAGGUGACUCCACUCCCCAUUCCCACAUCCAUACCUGGCUGAGGUGCAGAGUUGGAAUGAGAGUACAGAGUACAGAGUGAGUCAGAAGAGUGGGUUUGGUUCCUGUAGGGCCUGCUUGGGCAUACACUCAGACCACCCAUCAGGAUUGCUUUGUGCGGUCUAGUCUGCAUGCUUCUUUUCCUCUCUGCAGCGUGUCAGUCUUCUUGCAUGUGAAGCCAAUCGCUCGGCUGUUGUAGGCAUUUCCAUUUCCACCUGACAGAUGCCUGGUGGAACAGUGGCAUGUUGUAAAAACAUCUGCUCCUUUAGCUGCAGGCUACAGAUACUGCUAAUUGAAAAACGCCUAUUCCAAUAUUAUUGUUGCACAGUGCAAUCACAUUCUAUGAUUUCUCAAGACUUGGCUGCUUUGCCUCGUUUCACUGACAUUCCUCCUCUGUCCACUCGAGCGUAUAAUCACAACAUAUUUAUUGAUUAGAGGACAAACAGUAGCUAGCUCAACUGGACGGUAAAUUCCUUUGUUUUAUUCCUAUUCAGCAUGGUGGCAGCAGUACUUCUCCCAGGUAGCUAGAUGACAGCCAGCCACAGCUAAAGCAGGCCUUUGCUCCAACAUGGCUCUGCGGUCUCUGCCCUAAUUGAUUGGAAGGGGAAAGGCAGAACAGCUGCCCCAAAGCACAGAGCCAGAAUUAAAACUUCAAUCCCACUCCCGAACACUCAAUUUCAUCCAUGAUCCAGCAUUAUACAAAUGAGUUGAGAACAGACAGCCAGGUGUAUGGUUCCCCAGUAGGGUCCCUGGACCCACUGGCCUCAGAACCACAAACUGCUCCCCUCUCUCUCCCAGCAGCACCAGGCCCUCUGUGCUCCUUCUGUGCUCCCUCUGUGCUCCCUACCCUCCUACAGACAGCCCCCAGCCAAAACUACAACAGGCCAAUUCUAGAUUUUAGGGGAUCCAUUCACAGCACUUUUCAUUUAGGUAAGAAUCAACAAGAGGGUGUAACACUUAAAUCAUUAUCAGCCCAGUAGCUUUGCCUGCCAUUUCUGGGCCCUCCUCCACACACAUACAUUAACCAGAAUAUACUAUAAAAUUAGUAGAAAUACUAGCCUACCAAUAAGUAGUAAGUACACGCAUAACUUUCACAGAGGACAACAAAGGAGAUGGAUAUGCAAAAGCUCAGAGUAUGUUAGAAAGUCACUGGGUUAGUUAUAGUUUUACAUGACCAGUUUCAAAUUACAACUGUUUUUAAAGGUGAUAUAUAUAUAUUUUUACCUUUAUUUCACUAGGCAAGUCAGUUAACAACAAAUUCUUAUUUUCAAUGACAGCCUAGGAACAGUGGGUUAACUGCCUGUUCAGGGGUAGAACAACAGAUUUGUACCUUGUCAGCUCUGGGAUUUGAACUUGCAACCUUUCGGUUACUAGUCCAACGCUCUAACCACUAGGCUACCCUGUCUAGGCUACAGAUACAUUAAGAGUGAAUUGUGUCAAAAUAACACAGAAUAAAUUAAUUGUUAAAGGCCCAUAACAGUCAAAAACAUGAUUGUCCUGUGUUUUAGACUGUUAAACAGCCACCACUAACAUUGAGUGGCUGCUGCCAACACACGGACUCAACUCCAGCCACUAAUAAUGGGAAUUGAUGGAAAUUGAUGUAAAAUAUAUCACUAGCCACUUUAAACAAUGCUACUUAAUAUAAUGUUUACAUACCCUACAUUACUCAUCUCAUUUGUAUAUGUUUAUACUGUACUCUAUAUCAUCUACUGCAUCUUUAUGUAAUACAUGUAUCACUAGCCACUUUAACUAUGCCACUUUGUUUACAUACCCUACAUUACUCAUCUCAUAUACUGUGCUCGAUACCAUCUACUGCAUCUUGCCUAUGCCGUUCUGUACCAUCACUCAUUCAUAUAUCUUUAUGUACAUAUUCUUUAUCCCUUUACACUUGUGUGUAUAAGGUAGUAGUUUUGGAAUUGUUAGGUUAGAUUACUCGUUGGUUAUUACUGCAAUGUCGGAACUAGAAGCACAAGCAUUUCGCUACACUCGCAUUAACAUCUGCUAACCAUGUGUAUGUGACAAAUACAUUUGAUUUGAUUUGAUUUAUAUUUCCACACUGAGAUUGGAAUAAUACUGUGAAAUUGUGACAAUUAUGAUAAUACCCCUUUUAGUGUAAGCUGUUUGAAAAGACUGCCUGAAAUUGAAUCGUGUUUUGGUGGGAUGGCGUUUUGGCCUGCCUGUUGACAUCACCAGGCGGUAAAUUAGUUAAUAGACAAGUAAGAAAGAGAGUUCCAAACCUCACUGCCAAUAACAGCUAGUUUUCAGUUUUCCCUCCCCACCCAGACCACUCCCAGACAGUCCUAACAAAAUUCUUGCUUGAGAAAUAUCUCUUUGCAAAGAACACAUUUUUGUUUCUUUUUGACCAUUUUAAUUGAAAACAAAUCACAGUAAGGUACUUAAUUGUUAUUCAGGAAUGAUUUGAUAUUGAGAUAGAAAUGGAUGAAGUGGAUCUUUAAGAACCAUAACACAAUUCAGAAAUACAUUUUCUAAAAAUCAACACAUUAUUCCAUCAACAUAAGCGAGACAGUGUACUGUACAGUUCAGCCAGUAGUCCAUAAAGCAGCAAUAUGUUUGCAUAAUAGUGACAUUUCUUCCGACUGUAUUAAGGAAUCUUGAUAGUUUCACAUGUGGCCUUUUCAGUGGCGAGAUGACUGGACACAUUCUUCUGAGUGCGGUGGGUCCAUGCAGCGGGCAGCUAGGCAAGGGUGAACAGAGUAGGAUCUUCACUACUAGAGCCCACACAGGCCGACCGUGUUCUCUUUUUGACUGGACGAUUGUCCUGCAUGGGACACAAGGAUCAGCCAAUCACUUAGAACCACUUUUUUUGUUCAGCUGCAACAACAAACACCAUCUUUUGACUUACUGGUUAUAGUACAGUUGUCCAGAGGGGUUGAAACCUUUUGUGUAAGGAUUGUGAUACACAAAAUGGUUUCUCAACAUAACAAGAAAACGUCUGAGUUCUUAAAUAUUGUAUCAUUGUUCCCACUUGAAAACCUGAUCAUGGAUGGCAAAUGCUUUACCCAAUGAAACAUUUCUUAACAUUCUUAAAUGGACUCAUUCAAAUGUGUGAGUGUAAUCAUGCAUAAACAAAAGAAGAAGUGAAAGCUUCCCUCCACAGUUGUCCUCAUGUUGACAUAGAACUGAGGGCUCGGCGAAAUCGGCUAGUCAGGGGCCUUGUGUAGCGUGUGACAGGAAUCUUUGUAGUCAACAGAUCAUACUCAGACCCCAGCGCUACUUGCCUUCUGGUGCUGCAUACAAACUGAAUGAAUGGGAACCGGCUAGUCCCUUACUCCAAAAAGUCAUCACAACUGUGCCAAACUGGGCCCAGGAUACAAACCCCGCAGUAACACUGUACAGAGCUCUGAAAUACAUCUUUGUCCCAAUGUUUUACAGUUCAAAAUGUACAAAAGUCAAUAAAACAAAGAUGGCCAUCCAUCUCAUAGGAGUCUGAGAUAACCUAUAAAGUCAUCACAACAACAUUUACCAACACCUAUUGUACUGUUGAAUAAACAUAAACCAUAAUCAUAUUCAAGCAAUAUGUAUUAUAUCAUACACUACACAAAAAGAGAUUAUGGCUACAUUGCAAACCCAGUAAAAAGCAUAUAAAAGGAUUCGGGUAUACAUUUCACUAAAUUAUGCUACAAAUGUAUUUUUAUCCUUAUCCUGAGUGGUUGAUUAUUUCAUUUCAACAAAUCAGAUCUGACCAUGUUCCUGCUUUUAUUGUGUUUAGUAAAGAUGAGUUGUUCACAGUAAUUCAUAAAAACAGUUUUAUAAAUAGAGAAGAGUAUCUGAGAGGGAGGUUGACUAAUUCAGUCUAGUAAUGAAUGAAUGAAUGAAUGAAUGAAUAGAGUGAUUGGUACCGUACAGCAGUAUCAGGGGUUCACUACAAACAAUCUCGUCUACCAGAUCACUACAUGUCUGGGGACACCAACCUGUUCCAACACAGAACAACCAUGUUUUCACUGGACAAACUCUCUGCCUUUUCCUCUUAUAAUAUAUACUGUAUAUUCCUAAUACUGUGUUGCACCCCCCCAUUCAGAACAGCCUCAAUUUAUCGGGGCAUGGACUCUACAAGUUGUCAAAAGCGUUCCUCGUGGAUGCUGGCCCAUGUUGACGCUAAUGCUUCCUACGGUUGUGUCAAGUUGUCUAGAUGUCCUUUGGGUGGUGGACCGUUCUUGAUACACACUGGAAACUGUUGAGUGUGAAAAACCCAGCAGCGUUGCAGUUCUUGACACAAACCGGUGCGCCUGGCACCUACUGUACUACCAUACCCCAUUCAAAGGCACUUAAAAAUGUUGUCUUGCCCAUUCACCCUCUGAAUGGCACACAUACACAAUCCAUGUCUCAGUUGUCUCAAGGCUUGAAAAUCCUUCUUAAACCUGUCUCCUCCCCUUCAUCUACACUGAUGGAAGUGGAUUUAACAAGUGACAUCAAUAAGGGAUCAUAGCUUUCACCUGGUCAGUCUAUGUCAUGGAAAGAGCAGGUGUUGUUAAUGUUUUGUACUCAGUGUAUAUCGCUCUCCAUCUCUCUGCCACACAAUCAGAGAUGAUUUCCCAGUUGAGACUGGGCCUUUAAAAGUGAUGACUAAAGAGAACUGGAGCCAGCCAGGCCCUGUGUUUUUGGAUACUUGGGGACUGGGUUCUAGCGCGGGCCAAGCCAAGAUUAUAAAGAAUGAGCACAGGGGAGAAAAUUAAAUGGCACAUGGCAUAAGGCCACACAAGCACCUCGGCCCUCUGCUCAUCCCAUUCCCAGCAAUCUAUAAUGGAAAUGGAGGGAGAGUUUUUUUUCUUCUCUCACAUGGCACGUGUGUCCAAGCUGCUCUUGGAAUAAUAUUUAAAUAACCAUAAUAUUUAAAUUAAAUUCUGUUUCUUGUAUUUUUUCUAGAGUUCUCAUUUUUUAGAAAGCUUAUACACGGUCACUACUUUUAUAGCCAUCUGUGUUAAUCAGGGUAGGCUCUUACUUAUCAC